CCUCCUUACUAUAUACGAUACUGGUGACCUUGUAUUAAGUAGUGUCUACACAAAUUGUUUUGUUAUAAAUGAAAAGAACGCGAGUGCUAAUGCAUAACGUGGGUUAUGCAUUAGCGUUUGCUAAAACUUGUUCUUUAACAAUAUGGAAAGCUGAUAAAAAAGUAAUCAAAACUGAGAAGAGUAUUUCAAGUACUUUACUCUACCUGAUAACUGGCGAAAAAAAAUUAGCGAAGUCAUUGACCGCAAUCUAAAGGUUAUUUUGGGUUGUAUGGUUAAGUGACUAAGCGUAUACGGUGGAUGCCUUGGCAGUUAGAGGCGAUGAAGGACGUGUAAGUCUGCGAAAAGCUGUGGUGAGCUGACAAAAUGCGUUUGAACCACAGAUUUCCGAAUGGA
rnacentral:misc_RNA from 1 species